UUGAGGAGGAUUCUUCCCAGAUGCCCCCUUGCCCAGCCUGCUAACUGCGGGAAACCAACAAGGGCAUACCAGGGCCUGACUUGGGAAGAGCUGCCAAUCCAUCCAGGAGGGCCUAAUGAAAGCAAACAUUCCGAAGGCUCCAAGGAGAAAAGAUUGCCUUGAAAAUACUCCCUGGACAGGCUCACAGACAGCCAGAAGGAUAAAUGCCACUUUAUUUGAAAGACUGAAGGCACUGGGGGAAAAACAGUUGUUGGACACAACCGGCAUGGGCUUCAGACCCCCAUGGCUGUGACCAAGGCCAGCUUGUAGCACCCUCAGUACUGCCUGUGGCCUGCCUGGCCCUCUCUGCAUAGAAAGGAGGAUAUUUAGCAGUGGGAAAUUCCUUUCAACUCUAAAGUCAAGAUUUAAUAACAUAUGAAGCUGCCGCCAACCCAGGAUUUUGGACCUGAUUCACCAAUCUUCUGGGACACGUUUUAAGAUCCUUCUACCUAGAAGGUUUUCGCUGCACGGUACAUACCCCUCUACUCUCCAAAUUAGAAACUUACUUGUAUAUUCAAAAAUUCAAAUCCUUGUUCAAAAAAGAGGUGCAAUAGCUUUCCUCACCUCCUGAGAGCACAGCCUUGGGUCCUUUCCACUGUUCAGCCCAGGGUCUGAUUAAUUGAUGAACUACACCGAGCUGUAUUGAAGACAGUUUAAACGAGACAGUUUACUCCAGGGAAUGGAUCAAGACCUUUAGAACUGAAUGGGGUUAGCACCCCACGCAGUGGCCCUUGACCAAUGGGAGA